UGCCUGAUGGAGGGGGAUAACUACUGGAAACGGUAGCUAAUACCGCAUAACGUCGCAAGACCAAAGAGGGGGACCUUCGGGCCUCUUGCCAUCGGAUGUGCCCAGAUGGGAUUAGCUUGUUGGUGGGGUAACGGCUCACCAAGGCGACGAUCCCUAGCUGGUCUGAGAGGAUGACCAGCCACACUGGAACUGAGACACGGUCCAGACUCCUACGGGAGGCAGCAGUGGGGAAUAUUGCACAAUGGGCGCAAGCCUGAUGCAGCCAUGCCGCGUGUAUGAAGAAGGCCUUCGGGUUGUAAAGUACUUUCAGCGGGGAGGAAGGGAGUAAAGUUAAUACCUUUGCUCAUUGACGUUACCCGCAGAAGAAGCACCGGCUAACUCCGUGCCAGCAGCCGCGGUAAUACGGAGGGUGCAAGCGUUAAUCGGAAUUACUGGGCGUAAAGCGCACGCAGGCGGUUUGUUAAGUCAGAUGUGAAAUCCCCCGGG
rnacentral:rRNA from 1 species